CACAAGGUUCCCUAUAAGAAGACAGGAGGGUCAAAGUGACGAGUAGGUGAUGUCAUAAUAGAAGCAGAAAUUGGAGUGAUACACUUUGAAAAUGGUGAGGGCGCCAUGAACCAAGGAAUACAGGUGGUCACUAGAAGCUGAAGGAGGUGAGGCCAUUGGUUCUCCCCUGGGGCCUCCAGAAGGGACCAGCCCAGUCAACUCUGACUUCAGCUGAGUGAGACUGAUUUUGGACUUCUGACCUCCAGGACUGUGAGAGAAUAAAUGCGUGUUGCUUUAAGCCACUCAGUUUGUGGUAACUUGUCACAGCAGCAGUAGGAAACUCAUACAGUCAGUUAUUGCUAAGGGACCAACCAUCCCAACGCUGCCGUCUCAUUCCUGGACCUAGGGGUUGCCUGGGGCAACCCUACUUCAGAUUAUAGGUUGGUUUUGAGUCUCUCCACCAGCUGCAUUCUGGGACAAUGGCUACUGGGGGUGUGCGCUUUUCAUGGCAGUGACAAAAAUGGGAGAGAAGACUAGCAGACACUUGCCAUGCCUGUUACCAUUUCAGCUCUGAGACACCCACUUCCACCCACCUUCCAUUGCCCAAAAAUCCUACCAUCAUCCCACUGGCUUAGUGUUUCGAGACUUGCUGAUGCAGGCAGUUCAUCUUUAGAAGUCCAAGGAAGGAGAAGGCAGUGGACCCAGCUGCUCCUUAAAGAAUGGACUCAGCAAAGCAGAUGACGAGGCUUAUACAAAUGGUACAACAGAACUGAAAAGUUGUCGUAUGAGUUAAAGUCCCUUUUCUCAAGGCGCUCUUUCUUAUGAGAAUCUCAUCAAAUACUCCAUUCCCUCAUGGACAAGAAGAACCCAGAAUGAUAUCAGUGUUGUCUGAAAGAAAACACAACUGUCUUGGAGUCCGGUCUUCACUAGCCCCAGGGCCUAGGGAAAUGCCUCAAAAGGCGGGCUCUUCUCCUCUGAGGACUGGAGCAUGUCCUGCCAGCUGGGCUUCCUGCAAACACACAUGGAUUGGGAAGUGUGGCUGGAUUGGAAACAGAGAGAGGUGGAUGAAACAGGUUUCCCAUGAGAGUCUGAUCAUCUCCGGCUCGCUAAUAGAAGUUCCUCUGGAAUGGAGACGUGAGCUCUUUCCUCUUUCCUGUGAGGACCCGGACCAGGCACAGGCAGAGGAGCAGGAAGCAAGUUUGCCGACGUGGGUGCUGUCAACUCCGACUGUACGGGUGAACAGAGCUGCUCGGAAUGGCAUCUCACACUGUCUUCAGGAAGCGCCCAGGGCAAUGGGGUGAGGCCUGAGACACAGGCUGGGGCCUCCACUGCUCUGAGAAAUGGGUGUCCUUUUCUUCUGUGGAAUCCUCCCCAGUCUCCCCAGGAGAAUGGAUUGCCGCUAUGGCACACAGAUGACCAGCUUCGACCAGAGCCUGCAGCUGGACUCCUACUGUGUGCCAGACAUUUAAUCCUUUUAAGCCUCACAACAACUUCGUGCAACAGAAGGGAUGGCCCUUGUGUGAAGGAUGAGGGAACCGAGGCUUGGAGAAGUUACACGACGUGCCUAAGGCCCUUGUCUUUCGGAUGGCACCUUCACUUCAGACCGUCUGCCCCCAGGAGGCUUGACGAUCACUGAGAGCCACUGCUCAGAAAGGAAGAUCAUUCUUCAGGAGGUGGGAGACCUGGGAUCUAGAUGUCUCUCUACCAACCCACCUUUGACAAGCCCCUUCACCUUGCCGGGCCUCAGUUUCCCUGUUCUGUUUGGAGAACAACAGUGCCUGCCCCAUCCUGCCUCACAGAUUGCUACAAGGCUCAAUGCGGGGAAGGGCUUUGUGAAAUGCCAGCUCAGUCUGUUCCAGUUGAUUCUUACGAAGGUGGAGCAGGAGGGCCCUCCACGCACCCUCUUAUCCGCGUGGCAGUUGAGGCCAGUGAAGCUCAGAGGACUGAAUGGCUCACCAGGACCCUGAGCAAGAUGACG
rnacentral:lncRNA from 1 species